rnacentral:rRNA from 1 species
GACAGAGGGUGCAAACGUUGUUCGGAUUUACUGGGCGUAAAGCGCGUGUAGGCGGCUUGGCAAGUCGGAUGUGAAAGCCCACGGCUCAACCGUGGAAGCGCACCCGAACCGGCCUCGCUCGAGUCUCGGAGAGGAAGGUGGAAUGCUUGGUGUAGAGGUGAAAUUCGUAGAUAUCAAGCAGAACACCUGCGGCGAAGGCGGCCUUCUGGACGAUGACUGACGCUGAGACGCGAAAGCGUGGGGAGCAAACAGGAUUAGAUACCCUGGUAGUCCACGCCGUAAACGAUGAGUGCUAGGUGUCACGGGCUUUGACCCUCGUGGUGCCGCAGCUAACGCGAUAAGCACUCCGCCUGGGGAGUACGGCCGCAAGGCUAAA